CAGUCGCCACGGGAACACGAAGGGUGCAAGCGUUAAUCGGAAUUACUGGGCGUAAAGCGUGCGUAGGCGGUGAGUUAAGCCUGCUGUGAAAUCCCCAGGCUCAACCUGGGAAUGGCAGUGGAUACUGGCUCGCUAGAGUGUGUCAGAGGAUGGUGGAAUUCCCGGUGUAGCGGUGAAAUGCGUAGAGAUCGGGAGGAACAUCUGUGGCGAAGGCGACUAUCUGGGACAACACUGACGCUGAGGCACGAAAGCGUGGGGAGCAAACAGGAUUAGAGACCCCCGUAGUCCCUGUCUCUUAUAC
rnacentral:rRNA from 1 species